UACGUAGGGGGCAAGCGUUGUCCGGAUUUAUUGGGCGUAAAGAGCGUGUAGGCGGCUUUGCAAGUCCGUUGUGAAAACUCGAGGCUCAACCUCGAGACGCCGGUGGAAACUGCAAAGCUAGAGUCCGGAAGAGGAGAGUGGAAUUCCUGGUGUAGCGGUGAAAUGCGCAGAUAUCAGGAGGAACACCAAUGGCGAAGGCAGCACUCUGGGACGUGACUGACGCUGAGACGCGAAAGCGUGGGGAGCAAACAGG
rnacentral:rRNA from 1 species